AUCGCGUCGUCCCACACCAUACUUCCCUGACGGUUAGUCAUGGUGUUYGGGGCGGAGAUUGGCCUCCCGUGCCUGUUGUGCGGUUGGCCUAAAUAGGAGUCCCCUUCGGUGGACACACGGCUAGUGGUGGUUGUAUAGACCCUCUUCUUGUGUCGUGUGUCGUGAGCUGCUAGGGAAACCCUCAUCAAAGACCCCACUGUAUCGUCUUGCGACGAUGCUUCGAC
rnacentral:misc_RNA from 1 species